CUAUUAUAAGUUUGGCUUCGCUUAUUGACAAACCUGGAUCUGGAUUGGAUCUGGAUGGGAAUGGCGAAUGGGACUGGGGCGCUGGGAAUCUGGGAUCUUGGCAUUGGCAAAUUCAUCAAUUUUCUUUUACGCGCCAAAAGAUUUUCAUUGUCACGUGUGACUAUGGGAGCCAAAUAGUAGCGCGGGCAGGUGAAAAAAGUUAACGACAUGGGGUGCACGGUGAGACAAAAUUAGUUUCGCAGAGAACGUUGAAGACGAUUAACUGCUAUUAAGUCUGCUUGGUCUCUCUGUAAG